rnacentral:pre_miRNA from 1 species
CAUGACAAUGCUAACUCAGGUGGUAUGUUCCCAUCCAACAAAACGUUUCAUGGAAUUCCACUCGCAGGUUUGAUUGAGUGGGAGCAUACCACUGUGUUAGGAUUGUCACAAAGAAGC